rnacentral:rRNA from 1 species
GGACUACUGGGGUUUCUAAUCCUGUUUGCUCCCCACGCUUUCGCGUCUCAGCGUCAGUUGGUGUCCAGGAAGCCGCCUUCGCCACUGGUGUUCCUCCUGAUAUCUACGAAUUUCACCUCUACACCAGGAAUUCCACUUCCCUCUCCACCACUCAAGACUGGUAGUUUCGGGUGCAGUUCCCAGGUUGAGCCUGGGGAUUUCACAUCCGACACACCAAUCCGCCUACACGCGCUUUACGCCCAGUAAUUCCGAGCAACGUUUGCACCCUCUGUCUUACCGCGGCUGCUGGCAC